GCCCGGGGCUGGCGGCGGGGGGGGUGGAGGGUGGUGGUGGGGGGGAGUUUUCUAGGGGUUUCUCUCUUUUCUAAGCACUUUUCGGUUCUCUCUUUGCAGCC